AUUGAUAUAGCUUAGUGGUACAGUGCUUGCCUGACAAGUGCGAGGUCCUGAGUUUGAUUCCCAGUACAAAUA
rnacentral:tRNA from 1 species